rnacentral:rRNA from 1 species
UACGUAGGUGGCAAGCGUUGUCCGGAUUUACUGGGCGUAAAGAGCGCGCAGGCGGUCAAGUCAGUCGAAUGUGAAAGCCCCCGGCUCAACUGGGGAGGGUCAUUCGAUACUGCUCGACUUGAAGGCAGGAGAGGGAAGUGGAAUUCCCGGUGUAGUGGUGAAAUGCGUAGAUAUCGGGAGGAACACCAGUGGCGAAGGCGACUUUCUGGCCUGUUCUUGACGCUAAGGCGCGAAAGCUAGGGUAGCAAACGGG